rnacentral:pre_miRNA from 1 species
CACACGCCCAUGUGUGUAGGACCCCAAAUGAUCACCAUUAAAUUUGGUACAGAUCUCCAAAAAAGUUAUCACAUGGUGUGAGACUUGACUUUUUUAGAGAUUUGUGACAAAUUUAAUAGUGAUCAUUUGGGGUCUUACACACAUGGGUGUGGG